GAUGAACGCUGGCGGCGUGCCUAAUACAUGCAAGUCGAGCGAACAGACGAGGAGCUUGCUCCUCUGACGUUAGCGGCGGACGGGUGAGUAACACGUGGAUAACCUACCUAUAAGACUGGGAUAACUUCGGGAAACCGGAGCUAAUACCGGAUAAUAUAUUGAACCGCAUGGUUCAAUAGUGAAAGACGGUUUUGCUGUCACUUAUAGAUGGAUCCGCGCCGCAUUAGCUAGUUGGUAAGGUAACGGCUUACCAAGGCAACGAUGCGUAGCCAACCUGAGAGGGUGAUCGGCCACACUGGAACUGAGACACGGUCCAGACUCCUACGGGAGGCAGCAGUAGGGAAUCUUCCGCAAUGGGCGAAAGCCUGACGGAGCAACGCCGCGUGAGUGAUGAAGGUCUUCGAAUCGUAAAACUCUGUUAUUAGGGAAGAACAAAUGUGUAAGUAACUAUGCACGUCUUGACGGUACCUAAUCAGAAAGCCACGGCUAACUACGUG
rnacentral:rRNA from 1 species